rnacentral:rRNA from 1 species
AACGAACGCUGGCGGCAUGCCUAACACAUGCAAGUCGAACGAGACCUUCGGGUCUAGUGGCGCACGGGUGCGUAACGCGUGGGAACCUGCCCUUAGGUUCGGAAUAACUCAGAGAAAUUUGAGCUAAUACCGGAUAAUGUCUUCGGACCAAAGAUUUAUCGCCUUUGGAUGGGCCCGCGUAGGAUUAGCUUGUUGGUGGGGUAAUGGCCUACCAAGGCGACGAUCCUUAGCUGGUCUGAGAGGAUGAUCAGCCACACUGGGACUGAGACACGGCCCAGACUCCUACGGGAGGCAGCAGUGGGGAAUAUUGGACAAUGGGCGAAAGCCUGAUCCAGCAAUGCCGCGUGAGUGAUGAAGGCCUUAGGGUUGUAAAGCUCUUUUACCAGGGAUGAUAAUGACAGUACCUGGAGAAUAAGCUCCGGCUAACUCCGUGCCAGCAGCCGCCGUAAUAC